AGAGUUUGAUCCUGGCUCAGGACGAACGCUGGCGGCGUGCUUAACACAUGCAAGUCGUGCGGAAAGGCCCCUUCGGGGGUGCUCGAGCGGCGAACGGGUGAGUAACACGUGAGUGACCUGCCCUCUACUCUGGGAUAACCCUCGGAAACGGGGGCUAAUACCGGAUAUGACUCCUGGUUGCAUGGCUGGGGGUGGAAAGGCUUUUGCUGGUAGGGGAUGGGCUCGCGGCCUAUCAGCUUGUUGGUGGGGUGAUGGCCUACCAAGGCGUUGACGGGUAGCCGGCCUGAGAGGGUGUCCGGCCACACUGGGACUGAGACACGGCCCAGACUCCUGCGGGAGGCAGCAGUGGGGAAUAUUGCGCAAUGGGCGGAAGCCUGACGCAGCGACGCCGCGUGGGGGAUGAAGGCCUUCGGGUUGUAAACCUCUUUCGACCUUGACGAAGCUGCCGGUUUUUGCCGGUGGUGACGGUAGGGGUGGAAGAAGCGCCGGCCAACUACGUGCCAGCAGCCGCGGUA
rnacentral:rRNA from 1 species